rnacentral:rRNA from 1 species
GACGAACGCUGGCGGCGUGCUUAACACAUGCAAGUCGAACGGAAAGGCCCUGCUUUUGUGGGGUGCUCGAGUGGCGAACGGGUGAGUAACACGUGAGUAACCUGCCCUUGACUUUGGGAUAACUUCAGGAAACUGGGGCUAAUACCGGAUAGGAGCUCCUGCUGCAUGGUGGGGGUUGGAAAGUUUCGGCGGUUGGGGAUGGACUCGCGGCUUAUCAGCUUGUUGGUGGGGUAGUGGCUUACCAAGGCUUUGACGGGUAGCCGGCCUGGGAGGGUGACCGGCCACAUUGGGACUGAGAUACGGCCCAGACUCCUACGGGAGGCAGCAGUGGGGAAUAUUGCACAAUGGGCGGAAGCCUGAUGCAGCAACGCCGCGUGCGGGAUGACGGCCUUCGGGUUGUAAACCGCCUUCGCCUGUGACGAAGCGUGAGUGACGGUAAUGGGUAAAGAAGCACCGGCUAACUACGUG